AAAUUUUAAACAAGGAAUCCCAAGGCUCCCCCAUCAAGAAAAAACCCGGGGAAAGGGAAAAAGAAAGGGAAAUGGCAAAAUUCAGGGAACCUCCAAACCUUUGAACGCAUCUGGCCCCUUUGGGAAUCCCAAAAGGAACCCCGGUUGAAGGGCCA
rnacentral:rRNA from 1 species